UCGGGAAUUUUGGGCAAUGGGCGAAAGCCUGACCCAGCAACGCCGCGUGAAGGAUGAAGUAUUUCGGUAUGUAAACUUCGAAAGAAUAGGAAGAAUAAAUGACGGUACUAUUUAUAAGGUCCGGCUAACUACGUGCCAGCAGCCGCGGUAAUACGUAGGGACCAAGCGUUGUUCGGAUUUACUGGGCGUAAAGGGCGCGUAGGCGGCUUGACAAGUCACUUGUGAAAUCUCUGGGCUUAACCCAGAACGGCCAAGUGAAACUGUCAUGCUAGAGUGCAGAAGGGGCAAUCGGAAUUCUUGGUGUAGCGGUGAAAUGCGUAGAUAUCAAGAGGAACACCUGAGGUGAAGACGGGUUAGCUGGGCUGACACUGACGCUGAGGCGCGAAAGCCAGGGGAGCAAACGGGAUU
rnacentral:rRNA from 1 species